GUCAAACACUAUAAUGGUUCAGUAGCAAAUCCACCAAGCAGCAACCCAUUUUUAAUACAAACAUAAGGCAGCAUGAAGCCACUGCAAAGGCAUUUAAAGGGGGGCAGCAGCAGCACCUUCUACUACUACCAGUAUAGUGUCAGUUGUCGACAGGGACAGUCCACCAGCCUAUUCUAGAAUAUGUUGUUGGAUUUAUUCCAGGGCCAUGUUGGGUCAGCAGGCUACUAAAGUUAUUU